GUGUCAGCAGCCGCGGUAAUACGUAGGGUGCAAGCGUUAUCCGGAAUUAUUGGGCGUAAAGAGCUCGUAGGCGGUUUGUCGCGUCUGUCGUGAAAGUCCGGGGCUCAACUCCGGAUCUGCGGUGGGUACGGGCAGACUAGAGUGAUGUAGGGGAGACUGGAAUUCCUGGUGUAGCGGUGGAAUGCGCAGAUAUCAGGAGGAACACCGAUGGCGAAGGCAGGUCUCUGGGCAUUAACUGACGCUGAGGAGCGAAAGCAUGGGGAGCGAACAGGAUUAGAUACCCCAGUAGUCC
rnacentral:rRNA from 1 species